rnacentral:rRNA from 1 species
CGGGGUGGAGUAAUGUCUGGGAAACUGCCUGAUGGAGGGGGAUAACUACUGGAAACGGUAGCUAAUACCGCAUAACGUCGCAAGACCAAAGAGGGGGACCUUCGGGCCUCUUGCCAUCGGAUGUGCCCAGAUGGGAUUAGCUAGUAGGUGGGGUGACGGCUCACCUAGGCGACGAUCCCUAGCUGGUCUGAGAGGAUGACCAGCCACACUGGAACUGAGACACGGUCCAG